CUGGCGCGGUUCAGUACCUCAUCUAGUCUGGGUUCCAGUAUCUAAUUUUUUUUUUUACUGACAAACUCAUUUCUCUACCGGGACAGGAUGCUGUGCUGGCUGGGAGUUCCAUUUCUACAGCAAGAAUCCUAUCUGGAAACAGAGAAGUUGUCCUCUAAGCCACAGCAGCUCGAACUUUUUUGAUUGUUGUUGCUGCUUUCUCCCAUCACCCCCACCCCCUUUUGACAAAGAUCCAACUGUAAAAAGUCUUACGUAACAGUUCAGGACUACUUCGGUUCUUUUACUGGUAUAUCAAGAGGCCUCAAGAGGACUAUGAAAACAUUUACAUCUCCAACUCAGAGCAAUGUGGGUUUCACAAUAUUUCGUAGUACCUCUGGAAAAGGAAAGAAAGGAGGUCAAAGGAUUAGAGCCAUCUUGUAACUGGCUCAAACAGAAAAGAUACUGACGAAGUUCAAACAGACUGGAAGCAAAAAUGUUAACAGUUGCAAUCUCCAAGUUGUAGGAUUAAAGGUGAUUUUUAAGUUUAUCAUUUACAACUCAUCUAUGUCUUAGAAGCGUUUGGCAAUAAAUAUGAACUAUUUCAACAAUUAAGAAAAAUUACUUAAAUGCCUUUUCUUAAAAAGCAAAGAUUUCUUUUAGAUGCAAGAUAUACCUACGUUUGACUGAAAAGCAUAUGGAAGAAUCCACAGAGGGAAAGGAAGAAAUGACGGACUAUUUUUAUUAAGAAAGGGUACCUGUAGAAAGCACAGCUGCAGGGACAGUGGAAAGUAAAGGGCUCCAGGUCCAUGGUUGAAGUGGUCACUUUGGAGGGCAGACACAUCGGCCUCAGAGAAUGAAAAUUACAAAGCAAAUUCCAGCCUACUUCUGUUCUCCUCUCAGGCUAUAUCUCAAUAGGAUCCAACUGGGUGAUCCCAAAUCUUGCAAGGGGCCUGCCAUGGAAUAGACAUUCCAUAAAUGGUUGCCAAAUGAAUUCCCUUAUGUUUUAUGACACAAUUAUGUUUAUAACUUAUGAAACUCCUUGAAGUAAGCAUAGGAUACCUUCAAACCAUCUGUGCCAUGAAGUACAGUUCCAACGCAGGUAUAAUUUUAAUAUCUACCAGAUAUCAGGACAAAGCUAUCUUGAUUAUACUUGCUAUAGAACCCCUGAAUUUACACUGUAGCCCAACUUCCCCUCCUACUCUUCAGACUAACUAAAUCUACUGAAAACUACAUGCACAAUCCAUCAAAAUCACAUGCCCCUUUCUCUUCUCUUCCCAGUACAGUGGGUCCUCCGUAUCCAAGAUGUGGAGGACCAAAGAUACUGCACCAUUUUAUAUAAGGGAUUUGAGCAUCCUCGGAUUCUGGUGUCCAAGGAGGAUCCUGGAAUCAAUUCCUGUGGAUACCAAGGGACGACUGUAAAUAGCUGAGGCAAAACAGUAGAGUAAAAAAGAAAUAAGUGGUUUGGGAUAGUAUGGAGUUAGAAAACCUGAAUUUAAUUCCAAUUUCUGCCAUGGUUAUGUGUUCUUGGACAAGUGAGUCACCUCUUAAGCCUUAAUUCUCCAUGAAAGAGAGACUAAGUACACCUCUCCUAUCUUCACAGGAUUGUUGUGAGGCCUCAGAGAGAGCACAGUGAAAAAAUGUGCUGCAAACAGCACACAGCAGUACAGCCCAAUGCAUCCUGGCCUUUGACGGUACUACUCCAUGGCUUAUCCUCACUUUUAGUAGAUAAGAUUCCCUCACUCCCCAAACUCUCACCUACUUGUCAACCAGAAGCACGUAUUUGCAAGAUGUCUAGCUGAGGUUAUUAAUCUAUAACCUGGGGCUGAAUGCAGGCAUUUUUCUGUGUAUACGUGUCACCAGCAUAGACAGUCCAUCAGAGCCACAAUCUAUUUAUUUAGGUCUUUGUAAACUUCUCUCAGAAAUAUUUUAGUUUUUAGUGUACAAAUCUUACACUUCUUUUGUUAAAUUUAUUCCUAAGUAUUUUAUUAUUUUGAUGCAAUCGUGAAUGGAAUUGUUUUCUCACUUUCAUUUUUGGACCAUUGCUAGCUAUAAAAAUACAGCUGAUUUUUGUAUAUUGAUCUGGUAUCCUGUGACCUUGCUAAACUCAAUUAGUUCUACUUGUUUUGUGGGUUUUUUGUGAAUUAUUUAGGAUUAUAUAUAGGAUUAUGUCACCUAUGAAUAAAAACAGUUUUAAGACAUCCAAUUUAGAUGCCUUCCCCACUAACCCUCACAUUACUGUACUAGCUAGAACCUCCAGUGAAUGUUGAAAAGAAGUAGUAAGAGCACAUUCUUACCUACCUUAUUCCCAAUCUUAGGGGAAAGGUACUUAUAUUUACCCAAUUAAGUAUUAUGUUAGCUUUAGGCUCUUCAUGGAUGUUCCUUGGUCAAAUUGCGGAAGUUACCUUCUAUUCCUAGUUUGUUGGGAGAUUUUGAUCAUGAAUAGGUAUUGAAUUUUGUCAAAUGUUUUUCCUGUGUCUACUCAGAUGAUCAUGUGGGGCUUUUUAACCUUUAUUUUAUUAGACUUAUUUUAUGGCCCAGAAUACUCUUAGAGACUGUUCUAUGUGUACUUGAAAAGAAUGUAUAUUCUGCAUGGAGUAUUCAAUAAACAUGAGCUAUGGUAA